rnacentral:rRNA from 1 species
UUUUUUUUUUAAAAAAAAAAAAAGAUCGUUGUGAACAGCGGAAGGGAUCAUUAGCAAAGUCACGCGGCGGCGGGCGCGGGUUCUCCCCCGCUGGGCCCGCCAAGCGGCCAAGCAAUCAAAAUAAAUACCCUUCUGAACGUAACCUCUGAGUGGCGCGCGACGGAAAUAGAAGUCAAAACUUUCAGCAACGGAUCUCUUGGCUCUGGCAUCGAUGAAGAACGCAGCGAAAUGCGAUAAGUAAUGCGAAUUGCAGAAUUCAGCGAGUCAUCGAAUCUUUGAACGCACAUUGCGCCCGCCGGCACUCCGGCGGGCAUGCCUGUCCGAGCGUCAUACGACGAACCCCUCGGCGGGCCUCUUCCUCCCCCCUUUUUCCACCGGGGGAGGGGGAAGGCCCGCCGGCGUUGGCGUCCUCCCGGGAGAGAUCUCUCACCUAGGCGGGCUGCCUAAAUACAGAGGCGGGCCCCCGCAGCACCCCUGCGCAGCGAGCAUUCGUCGCAGGAGGGCGCAUCGGCGAGGGAUGAAACCCGGCCCAACCCCAAGCACCAAGAAAGGUGAAAAGCGAGCUUGACCUCGGAUCAAGGUAGGACUACCCGCUGAACUUAAGCAUAUCAAUUAAGCGGAGGAAAAGAAACCCACCGGGAUUGCCCCCCAGUAACGGCGAGUGAAGCGGCAACAGCUCAAAUUUGAAAUUCUGGCUUCGGCCCGAGUUGUAAUUUGCAGAGGGUGCUUCUGGAGAUGCGCCGUCCGAGUCCCCUGAAACGGGGCGCCGGAGAGGGUGAGAGCCCCCGUACGGACGGAUGCUGAAACCUGCGUGAAGCCCCUUCGACGAGUCGAGUAGUUUGGGAAUGCUGCUCUAAGCGGGAGGUAAAUUCCUUCUAAAGCUAAAUACCGGCCAGAGACCGAUAGCGCACAAGUAGAGUGAUCGAAAGAUGAAAAGCACUUUGGAAAGAGGGGUUAAAAAAGUACGUGAAAUUUGCUGAAAGGGGAAAGCGCCUGCGGCCAGACUCGCCUCCCGCGGAUCAUCCGGUGUUCUUCGCCGGUGCACUUUCGCUGGGGGGCGGGCCAGCAUCGGCUUCCGCGCCGGGGGAAUAAAAGCUUGGGGAACGUAGCUCCCUCCGGGGAGGUGUUACAGCCCCUCGCCUAAUGUCCCGGGGCGGGCCGAGGACUGCGCCCUACGGGAAGAUUGUGCGAUUAUGGCCCCGGGGGCCCUUUUUAAAAACGAAAAAAA